rnacentral:lncRNA from 1 species
GGUGGCUUUGGUGCCCUGCAGAAACUCCAAGGUGCUGUGCCAUCCACCUUGGAGAAAUGAGAAGGCGGCAGCCUCCGACACACAGCUCGCUCUCUAAAACCCUGAUGGAAAAUUCCUCCUACUCUCCACAGCGUGACAGCAGGCACAGCAGGCAGGGACGUGCACCACGUCCUUGAGGAAGAUGAGGCAUUUCUGCAGCUUGAGUCCCUCGAGAGGUGCAGUGGUAGAAUGGUGACAGCGGUGCCCUGCAGGCAGCAGUUGCAGGGCUGCAGGAGGUGCUCACACAGUGCCAGCAGGCGGGCUGAGCCCUGCUCCAUCAGCCUCAGGUUGCUGCACUGGAGGCGCAGGGACCCCAUCACAGCACCGCUGGGUUCGGAGUGUCCACCAGAGAGAAGCUGGAUGGUCCUGUGCCACAGGAAUGUGGAUCUGCACCUUUGGCUGCCCCAGGAGAGACUCAGGAGUGCUGGACUGGGAGGGAUCGCUGCAUCACGGUCCAAAGCUCAGCCACACCUUGCAGUCUCCUUCAGCAAACCCUGAGAUGCUCAUUUGAACCUGGACAAUUUUUUUGUCCCACUGCUCGUAUCAGAAGACUGCUCUGCAGUGUCACUGCUCUGACGUUUGGAAAUGUUCUCCUGAUUUGCAGCCUAACUUUAUUCAUGGCCAGAUUGUAUUCAUGGCACUCGUGCCUAGGCUGUCUGCUAGCUCUUUUCCUUCUUGUAUUUAAGCUGAUGUUAUCUGCUUUUGCUUACCAAUUUGCCCGCUGGCUGGAAUUAUGCAUGGAAAAGAAGUUUCCCAUGCCCUCCAUGUGGUUGUUUUAACCUCUCUAAAGGAGCUAAAUAAUUAUUCUUCAUCUAAGGGUGAUUGAGAGCAGGGCUCAUGGUAUAACAGCACCAUUUAUUUGUAAGGGG